GUGAAUCAUCGAAUCUUUGAACGCAAAUUGCACUCUUUGGUAUUCCGGAGAGCAUGCCUGUUUGAGGGUCAGUUUAAAUAAAAAUCGGUGUGGUUGCUGCCUUUCGUGGUGACGCACCGGAUUUGGGUCGUCUUGCCUUCGGUUAAGUGACUUAAAAUCUUUCAUGCUUUUUUUCGUACGUAUUUAAAUGAUUUUACGUACGUUUGCGAUAUCGUAUACUUGCUGUGGUCAUCCUUAU
rnacentral:misc_RNA from 1 species